rnacentral:rRNA from 1 species
UAGGGAAUUUUCGGCAAUGGACGAAAGUCUGACCGAGCAACGCCGCGUGUGUGAAGAAGGUUUUCGGAUCGUAAAACUCUGUUGUUAGAGAAGAACAAGGACGUUAGUAACUGAACGUCCCCUGACGGUAUCUAACCAGAAAGCCACGGCUAACUACGUGCCAGCAGCCGCGGUAAUACGUAGGUGGCAAGCGUUGUCCGGAUUUAUUGGGCGUAAAGCGAGCGCAGGCGGUUUCUUAAGUCUGAUGUGAAAGCCCCCGGCUCAACCGGGGAGGGUCAUUGGAAACUGGGAGGCUUGAGUGCAGAAGAGGAGAGUGGAAUUCCAUGUGUAGCGGUGAAAUGCGUAGAUAUAUGGAGGAACACCAGUGACGAAGGCGGCUCUCAGGACUGUAACUGACGCUGAGGCUCGAAAGCGGGGGGAGCAAACAGG